rnacentral:miRNA from 1 species
AGAGUUGGAGGAAAGAAAACU